rnacentral:rRNA from 1 species
AUUCCAGCUCCAAUAGCGUAUAUUAAAGUUGUUGCAGUUAAAAAGCUCGUAGUUGGAUUUCGGGAUGAGAAGCAUGGUCUACCGAAAGGUGUGUACUAGGCGGCUCAUUCUUCCUUCUGUAGACCUUUGUGGUUCUUGAUUGGAUUGCAGAGUGGAUGCAGAACGUUUACUUUGAAUAAAUUAGAGUGUUCAAAGCAGGCAUUUGCUUGAAUACAUUAGCAUGGAAUAAUGGAAUAGGACUUUGGUUCUAUUUUGUUGGUUUCUAGGACCGAAGUAAUGAUUAAUAGGGAUAGUUGGGGGCAUUAAUAUUUAAUCGUCAGAGGUGAAAUUCUUGGAUUUAUGAAAGAUUAACUUCUGCGAAAGCAUUUGCCAAGGAUGGUUUCAUCG